UACGAAGGGGGGCUAGCGUUUACUCGGAUUGACUGGGGCGUAAAGGGCGCGUAGGCGGCUUGUACAGUCAGACGUGAAAUUCCUGGGCUCAACCUGGGGGCUGCGUUUUGAUACGUGCGGGCUUGAGUUCGGAAGAGGGUCGUGGAAUUCCCAGUGUAGAGGUGAAAUUCGUAGAUAUUGGGAAGAACACCGGUGGCGAAGGCGGCGACCUGGUCCGAUACUGACGCUGAGGCGCGAAAGCGUGGGGAGCAAACAGG
rnacentral:rRNA from 1 species